rnacentral:rRNA from 1 species
AAUCAACGCUGGCGGCGUGCCUAACACAUGCAAGUCGAACGAGAAAGGGGAGCAAUCCCUGAGUAAAGUGGCGCACGGGUGAGUAACACGUGACUAACCUACCCUGGAGUGGGGGAUAACUGAGGGAAACCUUAGCUAAUACCGCAUAAUACCUACGGGUCAAAGGAGCAAUUCGCUUUGGGAGGGGGUCGCGGCCGAUUAGUUAGUUGGCGGGGUAAUGGCCCACCAAGACGAUGAUCGGUAUCCGGCCUGAGAGGGCGCACGGACACACUGGAACUGAAACACGGUCCAGACUCCUACGGGAGGCAGCAGUGGGGAAUUUUGCGCAAUGGGGGAAACCCUGACGCAGCAACGCCGCGUGGAGGAUGAAGUACUUCGGUACGUAAACUCCUUUCGAUCGGGACGAUAAUGACGGUACCGAGAGAAGAAGCCCCGGCUAACUUCGUGCCAGCAGCCGCGGUAAUACGAGGGGGGCGAGCGUUGUUCGGAAUUAUUGGGCGUAAAGGGUGCGUAGGCGGUUUGGUAAGUCUUGUGUAAAUCUAUGGGCUCAACUCAUAGUCUGCACGAGAAACUGCCG